GUGUUAAGACCGAAGACAGUAGGUGCCGUAAGGCGUAAAUUGAUAAUGCCUACCGAGGAUUUAAGGACAUUUGAUUGUGAAUUAAACCCAUUCUGUCUUGCAGAAUGGGUUUUGUUAUU
rnacentral:sRNA from 1 species